rnacentral:rRNA from 1 species
UAACUUAGGGAGAAGGGGUGCCUACGAGAGUAGGCCGCAGUGAAUAGGCUCAAGCAACUGUUUAUCAAAAACACAGGUCUCUGCUAAAGCGUAAGCUGAUGUAUAGGGGCUGACGCCUGCCCGGUGCUGGAAGGUUAAGGGGAAUAGUUAGCGCAAGCGAAGCUAUGAACUUAAGCCCCAGUAAACGGCGGCCGUAACUAUAACGGUCCUAAGGUAGCGAAAUUCCUUGUCGGGUAAGUUCCGACCCGCACGAAUGGCGUAAUGAUUUGAGCACUGUCUCGGCAAUAAAUCCGGUGAAAUUGUAGUGCAAGUGAAGAUGCUUGCUACCCGCGGUUGGACGGAAAGACCCCGUAGAGCUUUACUGUAGCUUAGCAUUGAAUUUCGGUAUUGUCUGUACAGGAUAGGUGGGAGACUUAGAAGCGAGGGCGUCAGCUUUCGUGGAGUCGUCCUUGGGAUACCACCCUGACAGUACUGGAAUUCUAACUGGAGGCCAUGAAUCUGGUCACAGGCCAUUGCUAGGUGGGCAGUUUGACUGGGGCGGUCGCCUCCUAAAAGGUAACGGAGGCGCCCAAAGGUUCCCUCAGCGCGGUCGGAAAUCGCGCGUAGAGUGCAAAGGCAGAAGGGAGCCUGACUGCGACACAUACAGGUGGAGCAGGGACGAAAGUCG